GGAGUCAGGUUGGAGAAAGAAGAAAACCACCAGAGCGGCGCUUUGCUGGUCAGCUAGAAACCCCAAGUCGCCCAUUGAUGACCGGUCAACAUCCGCGCUUUUAAUAACAGCGAAAACCAAUCAUCACAAACGUCAGACUCCGCACCCUGGACAAUCGAAGCUGACAGAUCGAGCAGUUUUCCUGCCAACGAGUUUUCUCCCCGUUCUUGGCACAGAGCCCACCUUGCUGGGAGGUUUCAAUGCAGCGGAGAGGUUCUGCUUCGGGGACAACGCCGCCUGCCGCGCCUCCUGGAGCUGCCUACAUAAAAAUAAAUACAAUUAAUGAGAAGCAUAAAAUAAAAGCUCAUUUCAUCCUAAAUUCAUGCAUAAAAAUAUAUUCAGAUUUA